AGAAGUGGUGCUGUGAAGAGAACAAUUGUCAGAGUGAAUGUUGAACAUCAGCUAGUUUCUCCUGUUGAUUGAAACCUUGUUGUACAGAUGGAACAUUGGCUGUGGAUUCUUCUUGCUGCUCUUUUCUUUGAGUGUAAAGGAGAAGACAAAGUGAUCCAACCAGGAGGAGAAGUCAUUGCUGCUGAAGGAGACUCUCUCACACUCAACUGUACCUUUGAGACCACUUUUACUCCACAUUUAUUUUGGUACAGAAGAGAAAAAAAUGGGAACAUAAAUUAUAUUUUGCGGCGCCACAGUUAUGGAAAAGAUGAUAACGCUCCAGAGUUCCAGAAAGACAGAUUUGAUGCUGAACUCAAAGACAAAUCAGUUCCUCUGAAGAUCCAGAAGCUUCAUGUGUCUGACUCUGCUGUGUACUACUGUGCUCUGCAGCCCACAGUGACAGGAAACAGCAAAGUUCUGUACAAAAACCUGCAGAACAAAGACAACUCCACACUACACAACAUCCACUAGAGGGCAUCACACACUGUGAAAACUUUGAUUGUUCAAUCAGUGAUGAAAAGAUGAAAAGGACAAAAG